GACGAACGCUGGCGGCGUGCUUAACACAUGCAAGUCGAACGGAAAGGCCCUGCUUUUGUGGGGUGCUCGAGGGGCGAACGGGUGAGUAACACGUGAGUAACCUGCCCUUGACUUUGGGAUAACUUCAGGAAACUGGGGCUAAUACCGGAUAGGAGCUCCUGCUGCAUGGAGGGGGUUGGAAAGUUUCGGCGGUUGGGGAUGGACUCGCGGCUUAUCAGCUUGCUGGUGGGGUAGUGGCUUACCAAGGCUUUGGCGGGUAGCCGGCCUGAGAGGGUGACCGGCCACAUUGGGACUGAGAUACGGCCCAGACUCCUACGGGAGGCAGCAGUGGGGAAUAUUGCACAAUGGGCGGAAGCCUGAUGCAGCAACGCCGCGUGCGUGAUGACGGCCUUCGGGUUGUAAACCGCUUUCGCCUGUGACGAAGCGUGAGUGACGGUAAUGGGUAAAGAAGCACCGGCUAACUACGUG
rnacentral:rRNA from 1 species